rnacentral:rRNA from 1 species
UACAGAGGGCUCGAGCGUUAAUCGGAAUCACUGGGCUUAAAGCGUGCGUAGGCGGACGCGCAGGCACUUUGUGAAAUCCCCCGGCUCAACCGGGGAAUUGCUUGGUGAACCGCGCGCCUUGAGGCAAGUAGGGGCUGUCGGAACGCUAGGUGGAGUGGUGAAAUGCGUUGAUAUCUAGCGGAACGCCGAAGGGGAAACCAGGCAGCUGGGCUUGUCCUGACGCUGAGGCACGAAAGCGUGGGGAGCGAACGGG